UCCCAUGUGGCUCAGCUGGUAAAGAAUCCACCUGCAAUGUGGGAGACCUAGGUUCAAUCCCUGGGUUGAGAA
rnacentral:tRNA from 1 species